CUAAGACCCUUUUCAUUACAGUAGAAAUGUUUCCCUCUUUAAAGCAAACAUCUAUACAAGUAAUUGUGUAAACUGCCUUUUAAAUAAUAUCUUUUAGAAGAUUCCAUCGUUUAAUUCCUUAAUUCCUAUAAUUAGCCAUGGUUUGAUUAAUGUUUCAAAGGGUUAAAUUAAAAUGCAGAAUUACUCAAAUGCAUACUUGAAUAAUUUUCUCUCUGCUGAUAACAGUUUCUGCACUGCUGCCUUUAUUCUACUCAUGAUUCUGAAUAUUACGUGUACUAACAAGCGCUAAUUUUCCUUAUGUAGUGAUUUUAUUCUGCUAACCAGUAGCUGUUUUUUAAAAUAUAAUUGUUGGAAACUCCGUAUUGCCAGCGAGGCACUUAAUUUUUCUUCUGAGGGGCUGUAAACAGCUCAGGAGAGAUGCUGCAACAGAGGAGCUGCGCUGGGUUGCUUUCCAGAUUGCAGGAAACUUAAAGGGAUCCUUUAUUUUGCCAACAAGCAUCGCCGCUGUGCUCUCACAGACAGUGCAACCAGCUCUGGCUGCUACAGACAAUAAUUUGGGAAUGUUUACAACCGUUGCGGAUUUGUUUGUGUAGGUGAAAACGUACAUAUGCUGUGAUCCUGCAGGGUGAAGCCUCACACAACUGCCACCUCCAAGCCCAUUUAAGCAUUUCCAGUGCAGGAAGAUGGCACUGGGGUAAAUAAAUGUCCACAGGGCCUACAGUGGGGGACUCAAGUUCCUUUGCUGCUGCCCAUGGGUUCAUUUAAAAAAACCCUGGGGAAAAGCAGCUGUGCUCCAGCAUAGAGGCAUUCUGGCAUUAGCUGUUCUGCCCACCAGAAGGUGACAAUCCUGCUCCUCCAAGUCCCUCUGAUGUCAUUGUGAGGCUGGGGAGAGGUGCCUGCAGGUUUGGGCUGAAAAGAGGCUAUUCUGUGCCUAGGCUUUUGGGUUGAGCCUGGGGGCUCCCACUGCAAGCAGUGGGUGACUUGGGGCUGGGUCAGAGGCUGGCGUUGGUUGUGAUACCCCUAAAGACUGGCUGGUGUUGCUUAAUGAUGAGCCCGAGACUCUGGCUCUGGUGCUGCUAUAGUAUGAGGAUUGCAAAUCCAAAAUAGGAUUUGAAACUAAACCUCUGUUUUUGCCUUGCCCUUGGGAUGUUUUGCCUUUACCCUGGUCACAAAGAUGCCUUGUGGGCUCUGUUUGUGCUGGUGGAGACCCCCAGUGCUGGUGCCAGAGGGUCCAGAGUGGGCUGGUUUGGGAGAUGCACCCCAAAGUGCUGCUGGCGUGGGGGCACCAGGGGUGGCUGACCCAGCGGGCAUGAAGCUGAGUACCCCCAAACCAUCACCUCUCCAAGCAGCCCCCAAAUUCAGGCAUUUAUAAUUGCUCCCCCUUUAUUUUAUCAUAUACUCACAAUAACAACCUUAGCGUGGGGUAUUUCCUGAGUAUUAAUGACCAGCUGGGGUUAAUGGCCCUUGCUUGUGCCUUCAGCCAUCAGCUCCUCCCGACUGGUCAUUAAUUCCCAGGAAAAGCCCUCUGUGGAGGUCAUUAUUGCUUAAUUAUCUCCAUACACUUUAAUGCCAGUUUUGACAAUGUACAGUCUCAUACUUUGAGUUAUAGGUACUUUAUAAUUCAUUAAAUAGCUUAUCAUUAAAACUGCAGAUGAUCUUGAUUAUUAUUUAUUAAUGUUUUCCCUUUGAUUUUUUUUUUUUUUUAAAUCUGAUGCUCCCAUGCUGUAGUAAGGAGGGGACAAAUGUAGAUGGGGUACUGGUGCUGAUGCCAAAAACUGUUGUGCUGUGGCUGGCCCUGUCUGGAGGGAUCUCCCUGGCUCUGAGACACCCCCUGCCAGCAGCACCAAGGGCUGGGCACCCACACCUGGGCUCUGAGCAGCUGUGUGCGUGGUGAAAGGCUCAGGGCUCAGCUCGUUUAGCUCGUAAGGUCCAGCAGAAAGAGCUGAGAGCAGCGAUGUGAGGGCUGGAGCUCCCUGUGCCCGCCCUGCGUCAUGGAAGCUCUGGCAGGAUCCACCACGCACUUUUUGGCAGUUCUGGCCUCACCUUUCUUCUUACCCUGGACUUGACAUAGACUUGACAUAGACCUGGGGGCAGCCUUGGGAGCCUUUCAUAGCUGGGGUUCCUGUCCAUGGAGACUGAUUCGGUGGAAGGGAGUUUCAGUGAGGAAAGAAUGAGGAAAAGACCGUGUUUAUUUCCUCCAUGAAGGAGCCUGAGGAUCUAUCUCAUUCAAAGACAUCUGAUUAAUAGCCUGACCGAAACAGCGUUGGAAAAUGUUCACAUCAUUUAUCAGUUGGGAGGAGGGAACUGAAAGCAAAAAAUAUGUUUGUUUUCAUUUGCUUCCCUUCUCUCCCUCUUCCAUCCGUCCUCCUGCCCUCUCGUCCUCCCCGCAGGGAAGGAGGGCUGGCGGGGCAGGGACUGGCAGUGGGGAGCAGCCCUUCAGUGCACGGGCUUCCCAAACCCAAUUACAGGAUGCAUUGUUAGUUUUCAGCUGAAAAUUGGAACAUUUCAGCAAAUGGAAAAUUUUCUGUCAAGAUGUUCUUUUCUGUCCAAAACAUUCUUUUCCAGAAAACUGUUUUGAAGAAUAAAAUUUUAGUUAUUUCUGUCCUGGAAAACCUAGCUUGAGGUUCAGAUCUGAGCUCCAAGCUGGCCGGUUGCUCCUGGACCUCUUACAAUAGUUACACAUCUCCCUGUGAGCUGUGCCUAUAGGAUGCUUGGAGGAGAGCAAUAUGUUUGUUUUUAAUGAUGCUGCUGGUUUUCGCUAUAAAUUUAAACAAAGUGGGCGGUAUUGGAACCAGCUGCUAGAAUUUUUUGUUUGUUUGUUUUCAUGAGAAAAAUGGUAACGUACUGCAAUAAAUUAAACAAUGUACAUAUUUUUACAUAGUGCUGUCUCUAAGCGUCUAGCUGCUCGGAAAUUACAGAAGCCGAGGGCAGCAUUGGGCCCUGUAUUCAUUUCACACGCACUGAAGUAAAGCGACAAAUGUUUCAGAGUAACUGGAUUUCCUUUUAAAGUGACACUUUAUUUGUGCUUGAAAAAUGUAAUGAGCCUUCACUAAGAGAUUUUUCUGGCUGUGUUCCUUCUUUAAUGACCUGCCCUUACAAAAUAAGCUAAGGAAAAAAAUAUAAUAAAAAUAAAAAAAAAAGGAGAAAAAAAAAACAAAUCCAUUUGGUCAACUUCUCUUUUCAUUACAUGGAGAGCAGCAACACUUUUAGAUGGGGAAAUAAAACGCAGAGCCUGAUAGGUUCCCGUUAAUUCUUCAGCACAUCCUUAAUUAGUGUUUUAUGGCUAAUCCUCAUCAUAUAUCUUAAAGAGUUUCACUUGAGCUGGUUCCCUGCAAGUUUUAUUGCAUGCAGGAUGCUUGGCGUGGCGGUGGGUAUGGCUGUGGCCUCGGUGCGGAGGCAGAGCUGCUGAUCCUCAGAGAUGGCUUGCUGGAGCUCAGUACCCCCAGGCUGCCUUUCCUCUGUGUGCCUGGUGUUAAAUUUGGGGAAGCAGCUGGUCACUCCGAGCUCAUCCUGUGAGAAGCGGUGUGUGCAGGGGAGCGGUGGCACUGAAGUGUGCUUUGCUGCUGGUUCUGCAGCCUCUAAUUGAGCUGCACGACAACACCAUUCAGGAACUAUCAAAAUAAAGCCUUUGAGGAGAUUUGUGUUAACAAGUUGGGAAGAAAUGGGGCUUUCUUGCAAGCGCGAUAUGCAGAUCAGGUGCCUAUUCUGCCCCGUGCUGCAAUUGAAAUAGCACUGUAAAAAAAAAAAAAAAAAAAAGCCUCUUUAAAAUGCACUGGUACUCUGGUACUCAUUUGAAAUAGCACUGUAAAAAAAAAGGCCUCUUUGAAAUGCACUGGUACUCUGGUACCCUGGAUGUGCAGUUUUGGAUGUUAACUAAAAACACUAAUUUUAGUGCCCUCAGUGUAUAAAAUACAAGUAUUUUACAAUUAGCAUCAGUAAUGGGAGCCGACUAGACUUCUCCCAGUAUCUAUAAUUGAAAAACACUAUAGGGUCCAUUAAGGCCAUUUAAAGUUGCGAUGCAGUCUGAUGGUAUUAAAUUAUUGCAGGGAUCACACACGUGGCACUACAAGUUAAUGCCCACGACUGCGAGCAGCCAGUGUGUGCUUUUUUGUCAACGCUGCAGUACUUCACGACUAUCUCAAUUGUUUGUGAUAAUUUAGACUUAAUGCUAUGUACUUUUUCAUGAAAUAUUACUAAUACCCAGCAGAGGGGCUGGGAAUUAGCAUUUGAUUAAAGCCGGCUUGGAAAUAAAUGCUGUUUGGUGGCCUCUCUCCGUGCCAUUCAGCACAAGUUUAUUUUCCAUUCAGAUAACCCACGUGGAAGUGAUGGGCUUUUCCUCGGUUUCAAAUGAUUUUCAGUAAUUAAACCCGAGAAGAAUGGCUCGCUGCCGUCCCCCCUCUCCCGGCGUUAUGAGGACAUUUGUCACCUCUCCACCUUUCGGCAGCAGCCGGUGGGGCCCAGCCGAGCGAGGCUGCCGGGGGACGGCCGGUAGGCCUUGCCACCUUCAGGCCACGCUCCCCCGGGGAAAUCGAUCUGCCCGGGAGCCGCGUACAAUGUAGAUGGAAAUGAGACUCUCGAUUUUAAUUUGCGAAGUAAAAGUUGCAAGGCAGGGUUCGGGAAGGGGAAAUCCGAAUUGCUUAGCAUUUAAGCUGGAUGGUGCUGUGCGCUGAGUUAGGAGUAGCCCUGGCAGCAGCCCAGAGUGGGAUGCGGUGAGAAACUUCGCUGUCUGUCUGUCUGUAACGUGUGGCAGGACCGAUUUGAAAAGGUCUAUUUGAAGAAGGGAGAAAGAGGAUGAGUUCUCAGUUUUCUCAGUUUUCUGGGGUGUUUCUCAGUUUUCUGGGCUGUUUCCCCUGUGCUGGUGGAUCCCAUUCUCGUUAUAUUAUGCUUUUUGUACCGCACACCAAAUAUUUUGUUAAGAAUGUGACAGAAAUGUCAGCAUAAAUAAGUAGUAUCAGAGCUCUGCCAAACAUAUUAAAUGGUGCUCCCUGAUCAGAACAUAGCAGCGAAGCAGAAUCUGUGUCUGAGGGAAUACCCACAGAACGAGUGAGGAGUACAAACAUUAAUGAGCCUGAUAUAAAACAUUUUUAAAGCAUUUUUAUAGUUGCUAUAGAAACACCUUGGCCUUCACUCUUGCUAAUUAGUUGGAUUUUGCACAUUUUAUAUUUGAAAAUGCAAAUCGGUUUUCAUAAAUUAUUACUUAUUUUUCAUUUAUAUUUACAGUACCAUUAUCCAGAUACAUGCAGGAAGUCUGAGAUAUUAAUUAGUUAUACAACACAAAUAAGCAUGACAUUUAUGGUCACAAGACAUCUCUUGUUUCAAAUAUUCGUCUGGUAAAUGCUUGGAGGAACUGUGCAAAGAUUAAUGUGUUUGUGGGAGAAUUAGGUAAAUAUAAAUGAAUUGGGCCUAAUAAGUUUUUAAUAAAGUGCAUUUUUGGAGCAGGAGAAGAAAUAGCAUUAUUUCUAAGAAAUAUAAGAAAUAUAAGUCUGUCUUUACAUGGCUGUGGAGGGCUAAGGAUAUCAGUUAGAUUUUUCUCUGCUUCUCACCGGUGAACAGCAGAUGUACAUCGGUGCAAGUCCAGGGCAGACCCAUGGCCGGGACCAAUACACAUGGAUGAAGACCAGUAUGCACGGUCCAGUAUGUCACUGGGAUGGUGUGUUCAGCCCCAUCUCCUCUGCUUCCUAAGGCCUUGUUUGAAGUGCUACACUAGUCAGUGUACCUUUCUGAUUUUGUAUGCGGUACUCCAGGAAAUACUCCAAAUUCUUCAAAUAAAAUACACAGAAGCCUUUCUCUAAAUUUUUUCAUUUGCUAAAUACCCUGUUUGAGUCAGUGAGGGCAGAGCUGAGGAGAAGGCUGCAACGACCUGGCUGUGCUGGUGUGUCAGGGUGUGCAGAUUCCCCCAUUUGCUAUGGACGUGUUUCUGGAGGUUAUCUGGAAAUUCAGACCUUCUUGUCCUUUUUUGAUCUGUGGAUUUAGCAUACGAGCAAAAGCCUUUUUGGCACGGUGGUCUGGUGGAUUUUUUUUAUAGCACUUCACUAAUUUUACUGUAUUGCUUUAGUGAUAAUCAAGAAUAACCGAUUUUUCUGUCUGCCGUUCCAUGUAAAUCUGUAUUUUUCCACAUGAUGGAUGUUCAAUAGUUGUAGGAAGACAUUUAAAUAACUGAGAAAUGUGGUUUAUUCAUGUUAUCUUGUUAAUCAGUGGCUUCCUUAAAUGUGUGUGCUCCGGACGGCACACACUAGGGUUUAAAUGAGUUUAUUAGCUGAGAAUAUGAACAGUGUGUUCGAAUAUAGUUGAAUAUAUUUAAACCAUAUAAAUAAAAUAGUAACCAGAUUUACUUUAUGUGUUGCAAUGAAAAAGGGCAAAAGUUUGGAAAAAAGCUUCUUUUCUCUUUUGGAAAUUGAAACCGCUGCUAGCCGCGUACUCAUGCACAUAUGCUUUGUGUCGUCAGUAACAAGAACGCUGCGGUGAGCGGAUACCAAAGUGCUGCAGACAAUGCUAAUGGAACAGCUCCUCGAUCUAAAAACAUUUUUGUUGGCUAUUUGAUACUUGAAAUGCCAUCAGACAGCCAAUCUGAAAAGGGGAAAAAUUACAUUUCUGAUAUGUUACAUUGUGUUAAAUUGGAUUCUGUUGUCAUGCCAUGUACUGCUGUGUCAUUUCAUGUAUUGACUUUUAACCAGCUGGAACUGCGUCGUCUUCAGAGAUUGCAAAGUGACAAAACCUGACCUGCGUUAUCGUUAGAGCAGUUGCUGUUCUCUUUUGGGGGGUCUGGAAAGUGGAGGAGGAAUUCACUCCUAAGUAUUUAUGGAGCAAGACCUAUGAAUAUGGAGUGCAUUUUUAUGCUGAUUGCUGUCUUUCCUGCCAAGUGAAAGACCAGUGUCUCUGUAAGCGAGGUGGGAAGAGAGCUGCACAAACACAUGUCCUGGUCUUGCAAAGUGAGUCUGAGCAGAGGAGGACAGGGAGGAAAUAUGGGGAGGGAUUUUCUGCCGUGGGGUUGCAUGAGUCUGGAAAUGAGCUGCCAAACUUUUUGCUCCGAGUUCUUCCUGCAGCAUCUUCUCCUCCUAUUCUUCUACAUGCAGCAUUCAUCCAGUCGAUGAGGUGGUAGAUGGCUAGAUUGCAUUCACCCUAAAGUUUGGUACGUCUCUGCUGUGCUGGUGGGUGUUCCAGUGCGAUGGGUGGCUGAGCAUCUGCAGAGACAGCUGGCUCUGCUUUACGCGGCUUGAGGCGUGGGCUAAAAUGGGGAGAAGAAUUUCAUCCCUUUUAAUGAGCUCCAAAAAAGUGUCACUGCAUAGAAAUAACAGUGAUAAGGCCAUCAGAAAUGCUUAAGCAGACAAUGAUACAUUUUAACUCCUCAAAAAAAAAAAAAAAA